CCUCCGAGCACUGGGGGCGCUGUAUGGACCUCCGACCACUGGUGGUGCUGCGGAGAACAUCCUGAUAAACGCAUGCGCACUGCCGAAAGCAGCUGUCGUUGGCGGUUCACCGACACGAGCGGGGUUAGACCUGCGGUGAGAGAUUUAUUGGAAGAAAAACCCACAACUGGAAGCAAACCACGACUGAAGAUGAGGGAACAGCAGCAAGUGAACCAGCCCGAGGACUGAGAGCACUGACUGGAGAGAAACCCUUCUGACUCAGGAUUUCCAUUGAUUCAGUCAGGAGCAAGUCUGGUUAAAUAUGACAAGGAAUUUGUCUAUGGGAAUCUCGAACACAACACGCCAGUUUUGCUGUCUCUGUCCAGAUAUUUAAGAAGAGGAGCAAGGGAUUCACUCGGUCAUUUCAACUGAAGGUACAUCAGCAAGUUCACACUGGACAAGGCCAUUCACCUGUUGUAAGUGUGAGAAGGGAUCCAGUCAGUUAUCCCACUUGUGGACACACCAGUCAGGUCACACUGGGCAGAGGCUGGUCAUUUGCUGAAUUUGUGGGGAAUGGUUCACUCGAUCAUCUAACCGAAUGGCACACCAGCAUGUUCACACUGGAGAAAUGCCGUUCACCUGCUCAGACUGUGGGAAGGGAUUCACAAAAUCAUCUCAACUACUGAGACACCAGUCAG